rnacentral:tRNA from 14 species
AAUAGCUUAACGGUAGAGCGUAUGACUGUUAAUCAUUUGG